UAAUACAUGCAAGUCGAGCGAACGGACGAGAAGCUUGCUUCUCUGAUGUUAGCGGCGGACGGGUGAGUAACACGUGGAUAACCUACCUAUAAGACUGGGAUAACUUCGGGAAACCGUAGCUAAUACCGGAUAAUAUUUUGAACCGCAUGGUUCAAAAGUGAAAGACGGUCUUGCUGUCACUUAUAGAUGGAUCCGCGCUGCAUUAGCUAGUUGGUAAGGUAACGGCUUACCAAGGCAACGAUGCAUAGCCGACCUGAGAGGGUGAUCGGCCACACUGGGACUGAGACACGGCCCAGACUCCUACGGGAAGCAGCAGUAGGGAAUCUUCGGCUCAUGGGUGCAACCCUGACCGAGCUACGCCGCGUGAGUGAAGAAGGUUUUCGGAUCGUAAAGCUCUGUUGUUAGAGAAGAAUGAUGGCGGGAGUGGACAAUCCACCAAGUGACGGUAACUAACCAGAAAGGGACGGCUAACUACGUGCCAGCAGCCGCGGUAAUACGUAGGUCCCGAGCGUUGUCCGGAUUUAUUGGGCGUAAAGCGAGCGCAGGCGGUUUUUUAAGUCUGAAGUUAAAGGCAUUGGCUCAACCUAUGUACGCUUUGGAAACUGGAGAACUUGAGUGCAGAAGGGGAGAGUGGAAUUCCAUGUGUAGCGAUGAAAUGCGUAGAUAUAUGGAGGAAC
rnacentral:rRNA from 1 species